UUUCGAUUGGUUUCCCUAUGGUUCACUCUAUCAGAUAGACAAGAUAUCAUAACUAACAUUGCAUGGCCAGCUGAUAAAGUCAUAAUUAGCUAAGAAAAUGGACUCACAACAAAGACAAGUGCACAAAGGAUGAUGAAUUGAAGGAUGGAGCAAGUUUCAUGCAUGGUUUACUUUUGUGUAUCUUGUAAUGUUUCUAUUUUUCAUUUUUGAAGUAAAAAUUGUUCAAGAUUAUAAAAUUUUAUUAUGUUAUGCUUUCAAACUUAAGUUAGAACUAAGAUCCCAUGAAGUAGACACAUUCAUGG